CCUCAAAACCCCAGGCUCAAAUGCCCGUUCCUCGUCUCAACACCCAUCGACGGCCGCAAUCGGAGAACAAAUCCAUUGUAAACCCUCUCAACCAAAUUCAUUGUCGAAUGGUUUCUCAUUCUCAUUUCAUCCAUUGAGGUACCUUACCCUCACUGUAAAUUAGUUCUCUGGAGCUCUUUCAAGCUGAACUAGGUUUUGAGGGCAUGCCAAUAAUCCUCUGAGGCUCCUUCGAGUCCAGCUGCUGGUGAAGCUUAUGAAUUGGGGUUUGGGGAUCCUAUUGCUAUAUCUGCAGAGACUGGCCUUGGUAUGGCAGAACUUUAUGAAGCUCUUAGGCCUUUGCUUGAGGAACAUAUGCUCCAGGUCUUAGAUGUUUCAGGUGGGGCACUUCCCCCUCCUGGGCAUAAGGUGGCUCUGCCACAGGAUAUUGUAAUGCUUUGGGGUGCAGUUAGGUCUGUGGUUUGUAUCUUUUGAUAUCCUUUUAUAUGUAUAAGGAAAAUCUUGAUUUCCUAGAGAGACAGAGUGUGGAUUUUGGAAGGCAAUGGGAUUGUGUAUCCUACUUCUGAAUCAAACUGGUAGCGGUGUUGCUUGCAUGAUUUACAUUUGGGAUAUAAGAAAUGAGAGUGAAGCUGGUUGCUAGCGAGCAUGAUUUUCAUUGCGGCUUAAACCCUUCGAGCUUAAGCUUUUAAGAAAAUCGGUACUUCAAAAUGGUAUGCAUUUGGUGGGUCAUGUUUUCAAACUUCAUCUAAUGUUUAGAUUUCCAAUUUAUUGAGUGUAAUCCCAAAGGAGGCUGUUUGUUUAUGGGUCUAUCACCUAUGUGGGCUUAUGCAUCUCUUCAUGCAUGGGUUUGUAUCUCUCCAUGCAUGGGUAUGGGUUUGUAUGUGA